GUAUAAAAAGUAGCUGACGCAAAAGACAAGAGCGGGCGACAACAGAUUGAGCUGCAGAGCCUCAAACGUAUGUCUAGAUGUAUAUAUGUGGGUAUAUCUGUGGAUCUUGUGAUUUUUCAGUUCGCACGCGCGAUAGUUGGUUAUAAACAAAAAGCAAGAAAUGUGCCACUGCGUAGAGAAAUCGACUGAUGUGUAAACAAACAUUGGCGUCAUUGCAUAAAAUGAUAUAAACAAAUUAUGUGGAAAAAAAGGUACAGCAAUAAAUAUAUGAAGAAGGGGCAUAGGGUCGGUCCGCAAUGCGUGCCAUUUUGCGAUUAGCUGACACAAGAGUCGCCUGGACAGGGGCUACCUGUCAUGAUGUUGGUUUUGUUGUUGCGGUUGUUUGGCCCGCACAGCUGACUUUCUAUGUCAAGCCCAAGGGUAUAAUCGUGGCACGACCGGGCGACAGCAGCCCAUAUAAGGCAAAGACGGGUUUAAAAAUAAUUUACAAAGGAAUUGGAAAAACUAGCCAAAAGCUACACUCGACGGAAAACCCGAAGAUGUGCAAGAGGAGGAUGGAAGAGAAUGGAAAAAUACAAGUUAUGCUGAAAUCAAGUAAGAAUCAAUCCCAAUGUCAACAUUUAACAUUAAUGUUAAAUUUUAAAUGAGGUUUUUUUGUUUCUUCAAAAAAACAAGUUAAUUGUGCUGUAAGUAAUGCCUAAAUCAAGUAUGAAUUAUUCUUAAUGUCAAAAUUUAACAUUAAUGUUAAAUUUUAAAUAAGGUUUUUUGUUUCAUUAAAAAUAUAAGCAAAUUGUGCUGUGAAAUGUGCCUAAAUCAAGUAAGAAUCAAUCCCAAUGGCAACAUUUAACAUUAAUGUUAAA